GAAAUGCGAUACUUGGUGUGAAUUGCAGAAUUCCGUGAACCAUCGAAACUUUGAACGCAUAUUGCGCCCGCGUCCUCGGACAAGGGCAUGUCUGCCUCAGCGUCGGCGUACCCCCUCGCCCUCACUUUCGUCUUCGGAAGUGCAGAGAGCGGAUCUGGCCGUCUCGGCGUCGCAAGACGCCGGGUCGGCUGAAGCACAGAGCGCUUGAGCAUGGACCCCGAUCAAAGGGCAAUGACUUGGUAGGUAGAGAGUUUUGUGGCGUAACAACCCCAGACUCCCUGCACUCACGCCUGUCGUUGCUCCAGGGGACUUUGUUGGAAGCCUUGUUGGUCGUGACAUCUGCCACACCGCCCAUUACACAUUCGACCUGAGAUCAGGCAAGACUACCCGCUGAACUUAA
rnacentral:misc_RNA from 1 species